AUUCAAAACAAGUUAAAUGAGCAUGACCGAAUAGCCAGCCAUUUCUAAAUUGUUCAUUUCACAUAGUGUAGCCUUUACAGUGGUGGCAACUAUGAUAACAGAUCCUAUGACUUAGAUAAGAUCAACAAAUUACCAAGUGCUAAUUGUUUCUGCUGGGUGUAGGUGAGGAGAUAAAUAGCUUGUAAAUUAAACAGCAGUGCCUAAGGGUGCCAUUCCUGUACUCACACGGGCUGCUCCGUGCUCUCCAGCAAAUAAUUUCCUCUUAUCUCAUAAUUAAACAUUUUUACCUUUAAAAACCACAAUCAUUAGUGAAUAUGUUAUCCUCCUAGUGCCAAAUUUAAAAGAGGAGAAAGGAGAUAAGAAGCAGUAAUCUAAUAAACUGAAUGACAAUGUCAUUUCAUCCUUUUGCAAAUCAUCGAAAUAUAGGCUUUCUGUCUUGGGUGGUUAUUGGGCCAUCUAUGCAGCUUUUCCAUAAGCAGCUCCUGCGCCAGUGCUGAAGUGUGGCAGUCGUCAAAUCCAGAGCCUGUGUGGCCUGGAGCCUGUCAGUAAGUGCUCAUGUGCCGCAGCUGUUCUCUGUUGUUUAGGAUCUUGCCUCAGAUUCGCUUAUAAAUGGCAUUUAUAACAUCAAACUUAUUCAGUGCCCGUUAAGAUGUUUUAGCUUUAUCAUGAAUGUCAACCGCUCCUUUUCCAGCUUCCCAUCUCAAGGGAAGACCAUGAGA
rnacentral:lncRNA from 1 species